ACCGGUGACAAUAUCGUAAAGGCCCACCUGUUCCCAUCCCGAACACAGUAGUUAAGCUUUCCGAGCCGAUGGUAGUACUGCAAGUGCGAGAGUAGGUAUUGCCGGUU
rnacentral:rRNA from 1 species